rnacentral:rRNA from 1 species
GGGCGAAAGCCUGACGGAGCAACGCCGCGUGAGUGAUGAAGGUCUUCGGAUCGUAAAACUCUGUUAUUAGGGAAGAACAAAUGUGUAAGUAACUAUGCACGUCUUGACGGUACCUAAUCAGAAAGCCACGGCUAACUACGUGCCAGCAGCCGCGGUAAUACGUAGGUGGCAAGCGUUAUCCGGAAUUAUUGGGCGUAAAGCGCGCGUAGGCGGUUUUUUAAGUCUGAUGUGAAAGCCCACGGCUCAACCGUGGAGGGUCAUUGGAAACUGGAAAACUUGAGUGCAGAAGAGGAAAGUGGAAUUCCAUGUGUAGCGGUGAAAUGCGCAGAGAUAUGGAGGAACACC